AAACAAUGGUGUGGACACUUUCUCAUUAAUUCCUUGUAUCUUUCCCAUGCUUUGUACAAGGACUCAUUGUCGCUUUGCACAACAAAGUGAUGUCGUUUCUCAUUUU